GGGUCCGCUCCCAAGUGCUGCUGCAGGAAACGGGCCCAGGAGCGGCGAAACCCGGGGAGUCCCGGACACUCACUUGCACCAUCUCCGGAGACUGUAUCGCCACCGUCAGUGCUGCCUGGCACUGGCUCCGGCAGCCCGCGGGGAAGGGGCUGGAGUGGGUGGGGCGCACGUGGUACAGGUCUGGCCAGUGGAACACUGAAUACAACAGCGCGCUGCGGGGCCGAGCGACCCUCCCCGCAGACACCGCCAGGAACCAGGUCUCGCUGCAGCUCCGCGCGCUGACAGCUGCGGACACCGGCACCUAUUACUGCGCCCGGCAGCCUCACUCACACAGUGACACAGAGCAACGCGGGGCUG